rnacentral:lncRNA from 1 species
GGGAAAGCUCAAAUAUAUGCUAGCAAAGAAAUGGAUGAACCUUGAAAAUUGCAGGUACUUACCAAAUCUUUAGUUGUCACAUGUUGCUUCCUUCCUAUUGCUUGCUAUACCACAUAAUUUGUGGUAAUAUCUAAGUCUACCCCAUGCCUUUGAGAGAGUUCACAUACAUAUAAUAACUGUUAAAAGCUUCCAUAACUUACACUUUUGUUCUGCAUUUACACAGGGUGAAUUGUUCAAGAAAGGAUGCACAACAAAAAUGAUUCUAUGGGUCGUGGAUUAUAUAACCAUACCAGAUAAGUCGACGUCUCAUUCAAAGAUCAUUUUUAUUUGAGCAUAGUGUACUAUAAUUUGCAUCAUUUGGCUUCUAUUUUUUCUUCUGCGCACAAAAUCAUCCUACCGUUGUUCGUAUGCACCAGAUGAUUAAACAUAUAUUUAUCAAUAUGUAAAAUAAAAUUGAAUGUGUAAUUACUUUGAAUUUCUUUUUUCCGGCUGAAACUUGACUGUCUGAAUAAAAUAUAAUCCUUGCUCUUUGAUUUCUGAUUUGAAUUGUUUAAGCACUAAACUACAUUAGAAGCAUGUAUCUUGUCACCUUGAAAACAGUGAAAACAAAUACAUCUUAAAGUAGUAGCAACAAACAGAAAGAUAUUUUUAAACUGUAGAAUAGGUUUAUAAACAAUGGAACAAUCUGAGUAUAAGAAAUAUGAACAAUUGUAAAUAAAAUUUAAUACCUUUUUAUCCUGAAGUACCAUUUCAAUUGCGUGACAGCGUUAGGAUUAAAGCGAGCUUUCACUUCCCAUAGCCGAACAACCAAGAUCUUUAACUUCCACUGCAUUUUAGUGAUUGUUAAGUCGUUGAUGAAGUCUUAACAUUUUUGAUAAAGAAUGAAAGUAUAUGUAGAUUGUGGUAAGGAUUUAAAGUAUAGAAGUUGUUUAAGAAGAAAUUAUUGGUUACAUUAACAUUUGAAGGUUUCUGUAGAUAACGGUAAGUGCCGUUAGAGUUGUAGUGGUAUACAAAAGAAUCAGUGGUUACAACGGAAGAUGAAUUGAAUUUAUAGAUGAAGGGGAUGAAAAAGGGCAUUUAACAAUUGAGGAUAAGAUUAAUGACAGUUGUGAAAUAGGUAGUAUUCCGUUGAGCAAUGGAUAAAUGGAUAAAUAAGAUGUUGAUAAAAGAGUUAUAAUAUGCCUUGGUAACUUAUUGAAUAAAAAGAGUUAACUCUAUAAAUUAUUUUUUAUAUUUGCUACGUUAGUACUGAUGGAAUAAAAAGAGUACACUAUAUAAAUUAGUUAAUAUUUUUGAUACCUUAGUUUUAUGAUAUUUUUUUUACAAUUACAAAUACAACUUAAAAGAAUGUAAAUUUUUGAUGUUAUAACUGAUCUUUAAUUGUAUUUAUCUGUUUUUUUAAAAAAUAAAAGAUAAUGUAACUGUAAAUUUGAAUUUGAAUGUUUAAAAUAACUAACAUAACAACUAUUCAUUUUAGUUUGUUUUUGCUUUUUUUUUUUUUUUUUGAAAUAAGGGUCCAAAUGUUAGAGCGUGGUAAGUUUUAAACUUUAAAUUGUUAAAAUAUUUACCAAAUCGAUACAUUGCUUUUACUAAAGAAAUAUUUAUAUUUAUUUAUUGAAAUUAACUUAUCUUUCAAUUGUUAUAGUUUAACUGAAAUUGAAUUUACAGUUUUUUGUCGGUAGUUUAUAGAAGUUGUUAAACUUUUACAUAUUUUUCAUCUUUUUAGUUAUUAUUUAAAAUUAAAACUUAAUUAUUUAAAAAUAAUUAAAAAAUAGUAAAAGCAAUGGAUAUUUUAAAGGAUGACAUUUGGGUGAAUGAGAGGGCUGCACCUUUUGUUAUUAAGAAUAUAUAGAUAUAGAUAUAAAUAUGAACUUUUUAAUUAAACAAAUUAACUCGUUUAUAUUUGCUACUUAGUUAAGUGUAUAAGUUUUAAAUUUUUUUUUUUGGAAAAACAAAUGCAAUAAUGAAUUACUAACAUUUGUAUUUGUUUACAAUUCAAUGCAGAUGGAUAUUGUAUAUGAUAACAUAUGGUUGAAUGAGGAGGUUGCAUCAUAAUCAAAUUUUGCUUGAAGUGAUGCCAAUGUACUAAAUGUAUAAGUAAUUUAUGUGAUUUAAUUUGAUUUUAUUUGAAUUUUGAUUUAAUGAAUGUGAAUUUCAAGU